ensembl:lncRNA
AUUUUGUUUGUGAUGAUUCUACCAUCUGAAAACAUCUCGCCAAUAAAAAAUAAUAAUUAAAAAUUAAAUAAUGAAUAAAAUUAAAAUAAGGUGUUUGGGAUUUUUCUAGCCACAUGAUCCACAGCUGAAAACUUAUUGCCAUUUUAUUAAAAAAACAUCAUAAUUAAAAAAUAAUAAAUAAAAUAAAAAUAAUUUGUUUGUUUGUAAGGUCCGCAUUAUAUGGAUGUGUUAUGAUGAUGCAAUGUGACUUCUGUUUUCCCAGAAGUUCCUGUGGAAAAUCCCAUUCCUGUCCCACCCAGUGACCCAGUAAUGACUUUAUUCAGAAGCAGAGAUACUUCCGUUUUGUUAAUUAACUGGCCGAGUGAUGGCCACAGUAAUCCCUCAAUCCGGUUCAGACAUGGAUUAUUUAUCCGUCCUGUCAUACGGGAGCGGGGACAACAUGCGUGAAUCCCACACUGAUGUCCUCUGCUCUGCUCCUGCACGACUGCGCCAUAAUCUACAUGUUAUAAUCCAUGCAUGCAUGACGGGGCGUAAACACACUUCCUCUGCGUUUCCGGCAGGAUUACUCUAUGAGGAAGUGAAGAUUUACACUGUGUGUGUGUGCUGUACAGUUUCUCCAUCUCACAGUAGCUGUCUGAACUGCACAGAGUGA